UUUGGUCUUAAUCGUGUGGACAUCAUUGGGAAAUGGAAAGAAAUAAGUAACUGUAUACCUACUGCUUGUCAGGUUCCAAGCUGACGUUCUAGGCAGCUCUGCCGAGCCUGUUUAUCUUCCUAUCUUCAGGGCACAGUUCCUGGCAUGGUGACGGCAUCAGCUUCUCCCUGCAUUAUAUGACUGUCCCCACAUUUUUGCAAGUGUAAAGCAAAAAUGCCAUCUUGCACCUAAAAAAAAAGUCUUCUACCUGGGCACACAUUGGAUAAAAACUCCAGCAGCUAAAAGUCCACACUGACUCUUGUUAACUUCACAGACUGUGAACAGACGCCCAGCUUCACAAGACAAUGUGUGAUUUCAAAGGCUGGAGCCAGCGAUCGUAUGACUUGAAGUUCUUCACUUGACGUCUUCCCGGUGUGGGCACAUAGUCUGGUAUUUGUGUUUAUUUUUCACGAUAGGUGGGGAAGUGGGAGGGAGGAUUCCCACCUCCUAUUGUUUGAUUCUAGAAAAGAGAAAUGCUUCCUUAUUCUCCCUGGUGUUCUCCGUCCUCGUUCUCUCACGAGAAGCAACGAUUGUGAGGGUGGCACAUGACGGAGCAGUGUUUCAUUCUGUCGUACACAGGGUGGCUAUGAGUCGGAACUGACUCGACAGCACCUCACGACAACAGUUCUCGCGAGGAGAUUGUGAGCCCCCCGCCAGCAUUUUUAAACCCAGUCGAACCACAUUUCGUAGAUGGCACAUGGCUCCCUGUUAUGCUUCAGACCUGACUCCUGUCUGCCUCUGGUGGCCUCAUUUCAGCGUCCAUCAAACCAAAGCCAGUCUGACCAGUUUGGGCUUGUUGUCCUGAAGGUCUGCACAGCCCACGGUUUUCAGUGUGAGGCCUUGGGUGGGGUUGUCCUCCCAGGUGACUGCUGUUACAGUUGCACUUCUUUGGGAGGAGGUCACGCUGGUGUAACUCCUGCUUCUUCACCUGAAACACACACCAAUGCGGAACGUGGGGCAGGAGAGGCAGGGUUUGCCAUGAUGAAACAUGUCGAGAGGCCCACCGGCAGGGAAACAAAGACAGCUGCAGCAAAGAACUGAGCUUCUUAGUCCAAAAUCCUUUGAGGAACUGAAUCCUGCCAACCCACUGACCUUGGAAUAAGAUUCUUCCCCCAUCAAGCCUUCUGGAGAGACUGCAGCUUGGGCUGAGGCCUUGAUUGCAACCUGUGAGCCCAAAGCAGAAGACCCAGCUCAUCUGUGCCCCCAGCUCAUCUGUGCCUCGGGUCCUGACCCACAGAGCUCUGAGGCAUAUUACUUCUUUAAAUGUUGUGAACACGCACACUAAGUCAGCUCUGCAAAAAACACAGCCGCUGCGAGGUCUUCAGUCCUCUGCAGUUCUCCUGCUGUUUUGAUUCUGGGAGGCCUGAACUGGCUUUACCAGCAAGCUCUCCACACGAGGCAAACAAGACAAGACUCAGGUAAACUCUGAAGACCGUGGUUUCGUUCCUUUUCCUACCUGUGUCCUUUCCAGUUGGCAGGGAACACCAGUCAGUGCAAAGUUUGUUGGGACCUGGUAAGUUUCACAAUUAAUUUGUAAAGCAACCCUGGUGGCGUAGUGGUUAAGUGCUACAGCUGUUAACCAAGAGAUCGGCAGUUUGAAUCCCCAGGUCCUCCUUGGAAACUCUACAGGGCAGUUCUACUCUGUCCUGUAGGGUCGCUAUAAGUUGGAAUUGACUUGACCUCAGUGGGUUUGGGUUUUGUUUUGUUUUGUUUUUUUGGUGCUGAUAAAAUGUUUUUUAUAUUUUAUUUAUUUUUGAGAAAUUCAGUUGCCUGUGGCUAAUGCUGUCUCCCACCCCCGCUGCCCCGAAACAUUUCAGACUAUUGAAAAAAUUGUGCGCUAUUUUAAGAUGCAGCUAUAAUCUUGAAAAACUCGUUUAGUGCUGGUGGAAUUCAUUGCUGUUGCUCUCGUUCGUGGGUUGGCUCUUGCUUCUGUAAGGCCCCUCCUCUCUGGGCCCAUGGAGGUUAGGGUUAGAGUUAGGGUUAGGGUUAGGGUUAGGGUUAGGGUUAGGGUUAGGGUUAGGGUUAGGGUUAGGGUUAGGGUUAGGGUUAGGGUUAGGGUUAGGGUUAGGGUUAGGGUUAGGGUUAGGGUUAGGGUUAGGGUUAGGGAUAGGGAUAGGGCUAGGGUUAGGCCUGUGAGGCUCCAGCUAGAUCAUGAAAUAGGAGCUUUUUAAGUCAAAACCUGCAUGGGUAGUGUGGGUGAAUACGGCUUAUAGGUAUUUCUAUGUUCAGAGUUCUUUGCAAAAUUAUGUUAAAUACUUGUAUGCAGCUUGUGGUAUAUGCACAGACAUGCUUCGUUAUGAGAAGACUGGAUUUUAAAAUAGUCAUUCCAUUAGUAAAUAAAUUCUUCCCUGAUAACAAAUCAUUAGAACUCUGAGACUUCUCGCUCCUCUGUUCUCGACUGUCACUCCCAGCCCCUGUGAGGAAAAGUUUCCCUCUGUUUAUUGCCUCAGAGUUGGGGCUAUUUCUUGAGUCUUAAUGUCUCCUGUAUUAGUUCAAGCAGGGAAAUUCUACUGUUUACUGGGGAAAAAAGCAGUGCCUACUUUACAUCUGUUGCGACACACUGGCUUAAAUGACAAAACAAACAAGCCCUGGAAAGCCAGAGACUCUUAAAGAAAAAGUUGCAAAAUUAUAGUGGCCACUUCAGGCCAAACCUCUGAAUCCUACAUGUAAGCAUAGCACACUGGGGAGUCAUUUUGGACCCCUCCCUGUGCCUGUGUGAAUAGAAAGAUUUUUAGCUUGGUUUAUAACUGUGUUUGUGACUUUGGCGUAAGGUACAAUCUCCCCAGAUUCCCCUUAAAUUCAAAGAGAAAUGCAUCUUUCCAUCAAAUUGAGACAGGAGCCUAACGUUUAUUGAACAUCUAUGAACAUAUAUUGCUCUAAAAAGCACUCCCAUACUGUCAUCCACAGCCCAGUGAGACAGGUAAUAGCUUCAUCUUUCUUUUAAAAUGGAGAAAUGAAGACUCAGAGUGGGCAAGCAACUUGCCCAAAAUGAUCCAGUUAGUACGAGGCAAAGCCAAUACUCAGAGUGUGUUCGUUUAACCAAACUGUUUAAACAUAUGAUUUAGUUUUUCUAACAACCUAGGUGGUUGAUAAGACCUCCAGUUUAUCACUUUAGGCUCAAGGGAUCAGGCAACUUGCCAAAUUCAGCUAAACCCGGCACAGUCAGGACAGGAACCCAUUCGCCACACCUCCACUGAAGGUGAGAAGAUGGCGCUCCCUGAGUGUUCUCAGGCCCCUGCACGUCAAGGCCACAUCGUCCAGGUGCACUGCGGGCACUUCUUGUCCUGCGUCUUAAAGGAACUCUCUUCUGGAAAGGGUUUUGCAUGGGGGCGGUGAGCCCCCACAACAGGCCUCUGGCUCUUACUUCACUAGGUGAGGCCUGAAGAUCACGUCGGUGUGGACUGACACGAGGGCGAGGUUUUCCUUCUUACCAUGUUUCACCACAGACAAGUGGAAAACAGGAACCCUCACUUUUCUGAAAUCACCAGCGGUUACUCAGAUAACUGUAGCCACAACACACCUGAAAGCAAAGCCGUCAGAUGGGAUAUGGAGGCUAUCAUCCCUGCUUCCCUUACGAGGAGGUGGCACAGUGGUCAGACAGCCUGAGUCACCAUCGAGGUGUGUGGGGGUGGCGCUUCACAGAACACCCCAGGCCAAGCACUGCAGCAGGGACAGUGCAGUGUGAGGACCUGUCUCACAGACAGCACCUACCGAGCUGCCUCAGGCACUUACCUCCUGCACCUGAGCUCAGGAUGGCUAAACUCAAGCAGGUAUCUGGUCUUGUCACCUAUGAAGAGUUUUUAUACAAGAGGCCCUGCACUCACACGGAAAUCAGGAACUUGACUGCUUCGGGCUGACAGUGUGUUUUGAGAAGAAGGGGGAAAAUAUCAUUCUCUCCCUGCAAGUUCCCGUCCAUUGUUGAGUAAACAUCGUAAAUAGAUUGCUGAGAGACAGGCUGCAUGUGCUCACAUUACCUCCUGCUGCAAUUCUAGCUUCAUUUUCUGCGCUAAGCAUGAAUAACGCUGCAGCCCAGCACAGGUCUGAUUAAUGCGGCAACUUUGCCAACUUCAGGCGUGGAGGGUGGCUCCCGCCCUCUCCCGUUUUCUCCCCAUGGCUUAGUAACCACUUCAGCGAAAUUUUCCCAUUAAAUAUACAAGGCAACGGAGUGCAAUAAAAACCAAAGGAUGUGGCAGACAAACACCCACAUCUGUCCAUGCAGACCUGGCCAGCUGACGGAGAGCAGGUCAGCCCUGCCAUUAAUUCCAGCAUAAAAGCUGUGUGCACCUUGCCAUUUUCUCAGGGGUCAUCUUCAGGCUAUAAGAACACUUACAGGGCCAUCUGCUUCCCAGGUGGUGGUAUGCCCUAGUCACAUCUCAGAUAACCGGUGCACACACACUGCAUUUGAGAAUACGGCUGAAGGUCACAUUCAGGAGGUCAUUCAAAUUAGUACCUAGUGUCCAACCCUGGGUCCCUGGGUGGCACAAACAUAUGUGCUCAACUACUAACCUAAACACUGGCAGUUCAAACCCAUCCUGUGGCACCAUGGAAGAAAAGCCUGGCUAUCUGUUUCCAUAAGGAUUACAGCCAAGAAAACCCUGGGGAUCAGUUCUACUUUGUAAUACGUAGGGUUGCUGUGAGUCAGAAUCAACUCCACGACAACAGGUUUGGGUUUUUUUGUUUGGUCCAACUAGGAAAGAAAGGAAGUUUUGUCUUUCCCAGACUUUGCUUGGCCCCCUGAUAUGAUUGUGAGUUCCUUGAAUAAUUCAUGGGUGAAUCAUAGCUAUUGAGCAUUUAAUAGAGACUGGGCACUCUCAACAAGAAAUGCCAGGUGUUCCCAGGGGCCUUGCUGGGUCCUUCGUGAGAUGGCAGAGAUGCCUUCUGACAUGACCUUGCUCACUUUCCACUACAGCCUUGUGCAGUCGAUGACAUUACCUCCAUGUUUCUCAAAAUCAAAAUGGGGUGUCAGGGGUGACAGCUUGCCUAGUGAUAGAGAUAGAAUCUGGGCCUUGCUCAGACUCCAAAUUCAGUGCGCUUAAGCAACCCAACUUCUCUCCUUCCUCCCAGUCCCCUGUUCCCACUGUGAUUCUCUCUGUUAACACACACACACACACACACACACACACACACACAUCCUUCUCCAAGAUUUUAGGCAUCAGGCCUGUGCAAUCUGUCAGAGGGCAAGACUGGGGGUCAGGGCCAUUGUGGUCAGUCAGCAGAAGUUCACAAAUGCUUAAGGAGCACUGAGACCAACAUUGCUCCUUAGCCCCAGGUGGACAGGUCAGCAGGUAUCAACAUGUGUUCCACAGGGAGAUAACUACAAGCAUUUUGCUGGAAGAGUUCUCUGAACCAGCAAGUUUGGGAAACCCUGGAUUAAGCAAUUCAACUGUCUCCGUCACUGCAGGACUUCUCAGGGCCUUUAAUAUGCUGAUGAACGCUACGAAUCUCUAGGAAGGGAAGAAGGAGCCCUGGUGGUACAAUGGUUAAGCACUCAGCUGCUAACCGAAAGGUCAGUGGUUUGAACCCACCAGCAGCUCCAGGGGAGAAAAGACCUGGCAAUCUGCUCCCAUAGGGGUUAUAGCCCAGGAAACCCUAUGACCAGUUCUGCUUUGUUGCGUAGGGUUGCUAUAAGUCAGAACCGACCCGAUGGCACACAAGGAAGGGAAGGUAGCUCAAAUCUCCCGAGAGUGCCUGACUGGGGAAUCUUGAGUGUGCAGAUAUCUCUGCAGGACAUUCUCUGAGAAGACUGCUCUAGACUCCAGUUCCUAAAGCUUUUCACGCCAUCUUCCUUUUCACUUUCUUUCCCCAACUGUUCCCACUUGAGGGUACCUGCCUCAGAUGUGCCACACACACAAUAGUCAUGUCAUCCUCAGGGCUACACUGUGACCCAGCACAGGCUCUGAGAUGUCCCAUGGCCUCCUAGCGUGAAGGACGAGAGUGGGGUGAAGGCUGGCGUAUCUCUUCCUUCAUUUCUAGAGCCUGCUGCUAAAACCAUGAUUACUUGAAGUUCUGACCUCCUAGAAUGUCUGGGAAUCUUCCAAAAGAACAACCAAAUCUGUCUUGGAAGAAGUAUAGCCAGAAUGCCCCUUAGAAGUGAGGAUGGCGAGACUUUGUCUCACAUACUUUGGACACGUUACCAGGAGGGAUCACUCCCUGGAGAAGGAUAUCAUGCUUGGUAAAGCAGAGGGUCAGUGAAAAAGAGGAAGACUCUCAGUGAGACGGAUUGACACAGUGGCUGCAACAAUGGGCUCAAACAUAGCAACAUCGUGAGGUUGGCAUAGGACCGGAUAUGUUUCGUUCUGUUGUGCAUGGGGUCGCUGUGAGUCAGAACAGACUCAACGGCACCUAACAACGACAACAACAACUGCAGAAUCUCCCAGAACCUCAUAAGCGUCCCCAGGCUCCUGAUUUGAGAGAUGGAUGGAAAGCCCCACUCCCAUGAGAACAUGGGCUCAGAGCUUCACGGAACCUGAGGCAAGAGCAGGAAGUUCUAGCCCGGGAACCAGGCCAUUUGUGCCUGGAAGGUUGUCACUACGUGACUCCUUGGCAACUUCAGUGAGAAGACAGGACGUGGAUGUCAGAACUUGCUGAUGUUCUGGGAGAGCUGUCAGGUGCAGCUUUCUCCCCAGACACUUCACUCUGAGGAGCCUCCAGCUCUGUAAGGUGGAAAUGCUGAUCUGUGCCAGCCCGGGGCUGAGGGGAGUGAGAGAGAGAGCUUUACAGAACAGCUGGGCACCUACCAUGGAACAGUUGUUUAGAGGAAAGUCUGGAGGCAAAUCGGACCUUCCCGGGCCCUUCUGCGAAGAGAAGCGUUAUAGCGAAGUCUGGGAUUUGACUUUAGGGGCGUGCUUCUGUUUUUUUUCAGGAUGUGCUUUUAAUCACCAGCAGUGAGUCUAGUUCUAAAAACUAAGUCGCUAAAUAGGAAGUCUAAGGAGCUCAUCCAGUCUGCAGACGCGACAACAGGACGCAGGGGUUGUCCUGGGGCAAAGACCCUGGAGCUAGGCAGUGGUCAAGAGGUGCUGAACCUUAAAUGUUUUAAUAUUUUACAAGGAGGCUGUGUGUUAUUUCUCUAAUUAUCUGUCACAAAAGGACAGGUACUGUGUGACUCCACUUCUCUGAAGUAUCUAGAAUAGGCGAGUUUCCAGAGGCCUAACUUGAUUAGUGGUUACCAAGGGUAGGAGGAAGGGGGACGGGGCUUCGUUGCUUGGAAAGCGCUGAGCUUCUGUUGAGGGUGGUGGAAACAGGUAAUGCUGAAUGUGCACGCAGAGAGUGCUGAGAUGGGGGAUGUUUUUACAUAAGUAUUUACCAAAAAAAGAGUCAAGUUUUAGAAAAACAAAGGUGACCGGAAUUAGCACCUAAUAUCCAACCAAUUUCCAACCAGGAAAGAAAGGGGGUUUUGUGAAGACUUUAGGCCCAGAUCCAUUUCCACCUCAGCAAGAUGGGCAAGGACAGGGUAAAUUCUGUCAGGUUUGUCAAGCCUUUAUUAUUGCCUUAUUUUUCUUCUAACAGUUUCCCAGUAGUGAUUACUAAUAAAACUCAAAACAACAAUGACAACAAAAACAAAUCACCCCAAAACAUGCAGACGCUCUUGGCUAGUAUUGUCUUUUGACAUCCCAUUUUUUAUUUCAAAAUGCAAACUGCUUCCUUUUGUCUCUUGCUUCCCAAGCUUUCCGGAUAGAAUUGUGUCCCCAAAACAUAUGUUGAAGCCCUAAUCCCUAUACCUGUGAACGUGAUUCUGUUUGGAAAUAGGUUUUUCUUUUGCUGUGGUAAUGAUGCCAUACCAGAGUAGGAUGGGUCCUAAACCUAACGCAUUCUGAUGGCAUCUUACAUAGAAGAGUAAGGACCCAGAAGGAGCCCUGGUGGCGUAGUGGCUAAGCACAUGGAUGUUAACCGAAAGGUUAGCGGUUCAAACCCACCAGCCACUCCACAAGAGAAAGAUGAGGUAGCCUGCUUCCAUAAAGAUUUACAGCCUUGGAAACCCUAUGGGACAGUUCUACUCUGUCCUAUAGGAUCGACUUGAUGACAAUGAGUUCUUUUUAAAGGCACAGAGAGAUACACACACAGGGGAAAGACAGACAGCAUGUCACAUUGCAGACAGAGAGACACAUCUGCAAGCCUAGGAGUGCCAAGGGCUGCUGGAAACUAUCAGAAGCUGAAAGAGAGAAGAACCUUUUGUUAGAGCUGAUGCCCUGAAUUCAGACUCAGAGCCUCCUGAGCUGUGAGAUAAGCCACCCGCUACAGCAGAGCUAGGAAGCUAAGACUCCAAGUUCACUCUCACUCCCAGGCCCCUUCAGAAGAUGCGGGAUCGUGCCCACCCAGGUCUUGCAUUCCUGAGAGAGCGUGAGUAUCCAGCCCUCCCCACUCCCACAGCCACCAUCCUUCCCAGCUGAGGCUUCCUUUCCACUCAGGCCGGGCACCUCAUGCUGAAACCAGGGUUUUAGUGGUUACCCCCCUCAUCAAGGAACACAUGGUCUUUCUGAUGAGACCCUUUCUGGGUGGAGCGUCCGGCCUGUACUUGAUCUAGGCAGUACCUACAAAACCGAAUGCUUCUGAGUUGUUUCCAACUCAUAGUGACCCUAUGGGACAGGGUAGAACUUCCCCAUAGGGUUUCUGAGGCUGUAAUCUUUACAGAAGCAGACUGCCACAUCUUUCUCCCACAGAGCAGCUGGUGGGUUCGAACCAUUGACCUUUCAGUUGGCAAACGAGUGCUUACCCACUGGGCCACCGGGGCUUGUUGAUUCAGGCAGCAGGGAAGGUAGACAGCGCUUCCUCACCACAGUGAGCAAAGCACAGAGCAGAGCAGGCAAGAGCCAGCAUUUUGGACCUGAAAGGUGUGAGCCAGAAUCCCACCUCGGCUUGUGACUGGCUGUGUGAUCCAAGGCAACUGAUCCAGCCUCUCUGAGCCUCAGUUUCCCCACUUGUAAAAUGGGGAUAAGCCCAGACCCUGCCUCGUGGGGCUGUGGUAGGGGAGAAACAGAGCAGUCCUGUAAAGGGCCUGGUCUGGGUCCCCGAGGGCCUGUGGCGUGUCAGGAAGGCUGCUGCCCGUCCAUCCCAGGGCGGCUGUGUCAGAUCGGUGGCGGGGGGGGGGCGGGGGAGAAGCUCGGCAACCCACUUAAAAGGGACUUUGACUCAUUCUGUGGUAACCAAACGUGCGGUUCAGGAAGUGCUUCACAAAAGCUAACUGGCUCCAGUCGCCCCCUCGUCCCCUGGCCCUCUCCUCAGAAUUCGCAACUGAAGACGGUGCUCCUAGCAGUGUUCCCCCAACACAGCCUAGAGGGCAUCCACUGUGCCAACAGCAAGACCCCUGUGCACGGGGAGCCCACUGGGGGCAGGUCGAUGCUGUGGGGUCUGUGGGCUCGUGGACAGACUGCCUGGGUCCAGAGUGUGCUCCAUCCCUUAGGCCACAUGCAAAGCAUCUCGGGGCCUCACUUUCCUCAUCUAUAACCACUACCCCUGUGUGCCAGGCCCUGUGCUAAGGAAGCAUUUGGCAGGCACAGCAGCACUGAAUUCUCACAGUGGCUCUACAGAAAGUACUAAACUUCGUACCGUUUAAGGACGGGGGAAACUGAGGUGCCCAGAGGUUAAGAAUGCUAGGGCAUGUGGGGUAAGUCCCAGAGCUGGUGUUGAACCAGGGGACUUGUAUGCCGGAUCCCACCCUCCUAACCUCUAGGAUCUGGCACAUAGUAGGUGUUCAGCUGUCCCUAAUGUGAAUGGAAGCACAGACAGAUGCCACAGCCCACACACCUAAUGUGGUCAGUGUAGAGGGAAAAGAAGUGAGUAAACCAAACCGGACGCCUUCCAGAAGAUCCCAACUCAUGGUGACCCAUGUGUGUCAGAGCAGAACGGGGCUCCAAAUGGUUUUCAGUGGCUGAUUUUUCAGAAGCAGAUAGCCAGCUCUUUCCUCCAAGGUGCCUCUGGGUGGACUCAAACCUCCAGCCUUUUGGUUAGCCAUCAAGCACAUUAACUGCACCACCCAGGGACUCCAGAAAUGGGUGAGAUGUCUUCAAACCCUGUUGAUUCCUGGUGAGCAGCAAGGUGUUGAGCAUGGAGGAAGCUCAGGGCCCACAGCAGGGCCCCUCUUGCUCCCCUGGGAUACCCGCAUGCCUCCUAGGAGUAGACACGAUGGUGUUUUCUGCACACUCUGGAGCUUCAAGCUCCACAGAGCCUCUGACUGAUUGCUCCAUGGAAGUGGCAGCAGAAGCCUGUGGAAAGCCCUAGAGGGCGCUGACCUGUGAAGGAGCAGGCUACCAGUGGGGACUGGAGCCCUUGGGUGGUACAAACAGUUACUGUGCACUGCUGCUAACCGAGAGGGAGAAAGGCCUGGCCAUCUUGUUCCAAAAAAGCAGCCAUUGAAAAUCCUACAGAGCACAGCUCUACUCUGACACACAUGGGGCCACCACAAGUAGGAGGUGACUCCGUGGCAACCGUUUUUGUUUUUACCAACAGGGACUGGAGAGUGGAAUGGGGUGAAGGGAGGCCAGGAAGGAAGGGGUUCCCCUCAUCCUUAGCCCAUCACCACCGCCACUUGGGGACUUCUCAGGGAGAGAGGAAUGAAGCAGAGUCAGUGAGCAUGCCCAGGCAACACCGGCCCAGGACUAAAGAGUCUGGCUGUCAACCCAAAACCAAACCCUUCUCUGUCAAGUUGAUUCUGAUUCACAGCGACCCUAUACACCCUCUAUGACAGAGUAGAACUGCCCAAUAGCGUUUCCAAGGAGUGGCUGGUGAAUUCAAACUGCCAACCUUUUGGUUAGCAGACUGAGUUCAUAACUACUGUGCCACCAGGGCCCCAUCUGGCUCCCAGGCCCUGGGAAAAGUUGACCCUCUUCUCCCCUUGCUUCCCAGGCUGGCGGGGGGAGGGGAGAACAGGGAACUCCAUAAGGGAGCAGGCCCCCUGCUGGGAAAUCAGGGCCUGUCUUAGUUCCUCAUUCAAGGCACACACCCCAAUUCCUAAGGCAGUUAAAAGCCCCGAGUUGCCUAACGUGGUGGCGGAAGGCAGCCUGCCCCGUGGUCCCACACCCUCAAGCCUGAGUGUCCCAGACAAGGGCCCGGUCUCUCUGCCCCCAGGACAGACCAUGGCAGACUUCCACCAGAGCCCGUGGGUUGAGGAGGAAGCUGCCGUUCUGAUGGCCCAGAAGCAUCUGUUCUGCAUUUGUCAUUGUCAAGCUCUGAUGUCUCUUGGGAAGACCUUUGAAGGACAGCUUUUGCUGUUGUCACCAAAAGAGCAAAAGGAAGCAAAUAAUUACAGUCCCUUUCUUUCGGGACUUUUUCUUUGCCAGUCGUAAGCCUUUUCAGUAAACAGCAGCUUUUACCAAAUGUACCCUCCCCCGGUGAGUCUCUAAAGCAUCCCUCCCCCAGCCCUUGGUUCCCCGUUGUGCUGAGAAACCAGGAGGUAAACACAGUUGGGCAAAGGCUGAAAUAAAGUGAGCCAGCAGGAGAGCUUUCCUUUUCACCUGGGCUUGUUUCUACAUCUUUUGAAGGAGUCCUGGGACCCAUGGCCCAGCUCUGUGUUAAAAAUCAGAGAUUGGCACCACGGGGUUACCUUCUGAGCCUUUUAGUGCUUCCCACUAUGAUCUGGACGGUCCCACUACGUGCUUGUUCAUGUAGUACAUUCGCCAGUCAUCAGCCUCAUGGGAACUGGAGGGCAGUGGAGCAGGGACUGCCCAGAAAGGCCCUGCCUGCUCUCUUAGGCUUCCCACUCUGCCCUGGCACAUCCGUGCACCUGAUCUCCAGCACAUUGUCCAGUUGCCAAAGGUUCCCUGCUGUAUUUGGGACUAGUAAGCCAGUGCCAGAAGUCCCCAGGUGAUGCAGACAGCAGUUAAGUACUUGGCUGCUAACCUAAAGGUUGGACUUGGAAAACACCAAGAGGCACCUUGAAAGAAAGGCCUGGCAAUCUUCUUCCAAAAAAUCAGCCUUCUAAAACCCUAUGUAGUACAGUUCUACUCUGACACACAUUGGGUUGCCAUGAGUUGGGGUCAACUCCACGGCAACUGGUUUGGUUUUGCUUUUAAGCCAGCACUGGAUCCAGAACGGCCACAAAAUACCCUGUUUGUUGGAGGCCGAGGGCAAGUGAGUAGGCCCACUUGGGGUUAAUGAAUGAUCUCAGCUUACCCCAGGGCUCUGCUGAACCCAGGAAGAAUAGAGCCAUUUUAUUCUUCAGAAUUUAAGGAAAGUUUUCCAGGUUGGAUGGGUGGAUUUUUCCCAGCAGGAAAGCAGAGUUUCUGGGGUGUGACUCCCCACUGACAAAGGGGAUGGCCUGGUUCCUCUCUAUCUUCCUGCUUUUCUCGUGGAAAGUGUAGUCGUUUCUUAUUACUAACAUGGGAGCUUAAAACAGCAUACAUUUAUUCUUUUGCAGCUCUGGAGGCCCCAAGUCCUGCAUCACUUUCACUGGGCUUAAGUCAAGGUAUCGUUGGGGCUGGUUCCUCCUGGAUGCUAUAAGGAAGGAUCCUUUUCCAGCUUCGAGGGGCUGUCUGUAUUCCUUGGUGUGCAAAGGACCAUCCUAAACGGCAUCACUCCAAUCUCUGCCUUCAUUGUCAAAUAGCCUUCUCUCCUUUGGCCCCUCUUAUGAGAACUCUUACGAUUACAUUUAGGGCUCACCCAAAUAAUCCAAGAUGCUCUCACGAUCCUUAAUUUCCUUACAUCUGCAAAGUCCCUUUUGCCACGUAAGGUAAAAUUCCCAGGUUCCAGGGAUGAAGACGUCGACAUGUUUGGGAGGCUGUUAUUCAGUCAGCCACAGAAAGUCACGGUGAUGAUCUGCAGACAGCCCCCUGCACCUCUGUGGAAUGCUUGGAGUAAACGUAGUAACAAAAGAGCAAAACACGUAGCAGGGUGAGCUUCCUAUAUUCAGAACCCCCAGCAUUUAGUCCCUAUCUCUGCCCCACUCAGGCCCCUCUGGGUCCGUCUCAGUGAUACCUCCAUUGUGCGAUGUCUCGGGAGGGGCUGGAUCCAAAUGUCCUUCCAACCAGAGGGGCUAGAAGUGCCAAGUCAUCCUGUCCACUCCUGGUAGCCAGGGUGAACAGCCACCAAGCUCUGUCACUGGAAUGCUGUUUCCUGAGACUUGGGAGCUUGAGUUGUUCAGUUCAGCAGUGACACCCUGACUACAGUGCUCCUGCCUCAAGCCCACUUUUCUCAUUCCUUGUCUUUGGCCUCCAGGGCUACCUUGGGGCCUGCCCACUUCCAACCCUGAUGACCCAGACUUCCCUGUUAUGUAGUCAUCGCUGAUACGGUUACCUCAUAAGUCCUUCGUGAUGAAGUGAACACAUGCAGACUCUGUUGCUUGCACUCAAAGAACUAUGUCUACAUGCUGAAUAAACAUAGGACCAUGUCUACUUGCAGAAUAAACGUAGGACUGUAUCUACAUGCUGAAUAAAUGUAGGACAUGAGGACUCAGGGUCAUCUUAGAGGUGGGCUUGCGUCUUGGUAACCCAAUCAUUGCAUCAAGGCCCUGCUUCUGUCAGUGAGGAGUGUGACUGGGUGCACCGGGGGAGGGGUCAGUGACGGGAGGUAGAGUUGGUCCCAUUCUCUUUGGUGGUCCCAGUCAAGCCCUCGCUUCAGCCAGGCAUCUGGAUUUCUGCCCCUGGUUAUCUAUUGCACAACAAGCUCUUUUGUUACAUAAGGUGGCAUCAUUAUUACCAGAGCCCUAUAUCUAUUUAUGUAAUUCCCAUUGCGUCUCUGGGUGACACAAAUGGUUUCCACUCUUCUACUAACCUAAAGGUUGGUGGUUCAAAUCCACCCAGCAGCAAAUGUGGAAGAAAGGCCUAGCGAUCUGCUCCUGUAAUCGUCACAGCCAGGAAAACCCUGCUAAGCUGCUCUACAGCACGUGCGGUCGCCAGGAGUUGAAAUCAACCUGAUGGCAAUGGGUUUGGUUCAUUUAUUUAUUUUUUAAUCCCCGUUUAUGCAGACGUUUGCAGGACAACCAGGGUAUAAAAUGGGAAUGAUUUAGUAGUGGCAGGACACCUGGGGUAUAAAAUGGGAACAAUUUAGUAGUGGCAGGACACCCAGGGUAUAAAAUGGGAACACGUUUAGUAGUGGCAGGACACCAGGGGUAUAAAAUAGGAAAGAUUUAGUAGUGGCAGGACACCUGGGGUACAAAAUGGGAACAAGUUUAGUAGUGGCAGGAGACCCAGGGUAUAAAAUGGGAACGAUUUAGCAGCAGCAGGCUGGAGCUGCAGCAAACAUUGGCAGGGUUUUUGUUUCUGUUUAAUCUCUGAAGAACCUAGAUGUGUGUCAUGGAUUGAAUUAUGUCGCCCCAAAAAUGUGUGUAUCAGCUUGGUUAGGCCAUGAUUCCCAGUAUUGUGUGGUUGUGCUCCAUUUUGUGAUCGUAAUUUUAUGUUAAGAUGAUUAGAGUGGGAUUGUAACAUCACCCUUACUCAGGUCACCACCCUGAUUCAAGGUACAGAAAGUUUCCCUGGGGUGUGGCCUUCACCACCUUUUAUCGCUCAUAAAAGAAAAGAGAAGCAAACAGAUAGUUGGGGACCUCAUACCACCAAGAAAGUAGCACCAGGAGCAGAGCGCAUUCUUUGGACCCGGGGUCCCUGCACCUGAGAAGCUCCUCAACCAUGGGAAGACUGAGGACAAGGCCCUUCUUCCAGAGCCGACAGAGAGAGCCUUCCCCCGGAGCUGACGCCUUGAAUUUGGAUUUGUAGCCUACUUUACUGUGAGGAAAUAAAUUUCUCUUUAUUAAAGCCAUCCACUUGUGGUAUUUCUGUUAUAGCAGCACUGGAUGACUAAGACAAUGUGCAAUGCAUAUUUAAUGAAUGCGAUAAUGAAUGAAUGAACAAAAGAAUGCUACUAUUCAGAGAAUCCUCUUUCCCGUUGGGCUCAGUGGCUAUCUAGAGUUGCAGUCACUCUUCAGAGAUGAACCUCUCAAACGCCGCUGAAAAACCAUGGAUUGUGCCUGCUUAUUGUUGUUGUUUGUUUUUUACUUUUUGUUACUGUGUUCUACUC